UCUCCGUAGUGAACCUGCGGAGGGAUCAUUACACAAAUAUGAAGGCGGGCUGGAACCUCUCGGGGUUACAGCCUUGCUGAAUUAUUCACCCUUGUCUUUUGCGUACUUCUUGUUUCCUUGGUGGGUUCGCCCACCACUAGGACAAACAUAAACCUUUUGUAAUUGCAAUCAGCGUCAGUAACAAAUUAAUAAUUACAACUUUCAACAACGGAUCUCUUGGUUCUGGCAUCGAUGAAGAACGCAGCGAAAUGCGAUAAGUAGUGUGAAUUGCAGAAUUCAGUGAAUCAUCGAAUCUUUGAACGCACAUUGCGCCCUUUGGUAUUCCAAAGGGCAUGCCUGUUCGAGCGUCAUUUGUACCCUCAAGCUUUGCUUGGUGUUGGGCGUCUUGUCUCUAGCUUUGCUGGAGACUCGCCUUAAAGUAAUUGGCAGCCGGCCUACUGGUUUCGGAGCGCAGCACAAGUCGCACUCUCUAUCAGCAAAGGUCUAGCAUCCAUUAAGCCUUUUUUUCAACUUUUGACCUCGGAUCAGGUAGGGAUACCCGCUGAACUUAAGCAUAUCAAUAA
rnacentral:rRNA from 1 species